ensembl:snRNA U6atac minor spliceosomal RNA
GUGUAUAAAAGGAGCGAUGGUUAGUCCUCCCCUUGAAUUGGCCAUGGGACCUGCAACACACAUACGGUUAAGACAUAGCCACCUACCUUGGGGCAUCCCUAACCAAGCUUUCUG